GUUCGACCGAAGCCUGGAGCUACGAUUAUUUUCAGCUCUACUCAGAUGUUUCUGCCACGCCACAGGGUCAGAGGUCAGAGGUAAAAUGUUGGCCGUCGUGUCGGAGAUGUUACCUCAGGAAGUCUGGAGCUUUGGAGAUCAUGUUCUCGAAGUCGGAGAAGGAGAGCUUGUUGUCGGCGUCGAGGUCGGCCUCCUCGAUGGCCUUGUCACACACCAGCCUGACCUCCUCUGGGGUCAGCUCCCCUUUGGUCAGCUUGUUCAGGGUCUUCUGCAGAUCCUCCUUACAGAUGAAAUUGUCCCUGUUGAAGUCUGGAGCAGGAAGACACACAGCAGCUCAGCUCAGAUUCUGCUUUUCAUUUCUUUUAUUAAAACGCUGCUAAUUAUUAUCAUUGUAAUGGAUAAUAAACUAUUCAAAAUAAA